GACGAACGCUGGCGGCGUGCUUAACACAUGCCAGUCGAACGCUGAAGCUCAGCUUUUGUUGGGUGGAUGAGUGGCGAACGGGUGAGUAACACGUGAGUAACCUGCCCCCUUCUUUGGGAUAACGCCCGGAAACGGGUGCUAAUACUGGAUAUUCACUGGUCUUCGCAUGGGGGUUGGUGGAAAGGGUUUUUCUGGUGGGGGAUGGGCUCGCGGCCUAUCAGCUUGUUGGUGGGGUGAUGGCCUACCAAGGCUUUGACGGGUAGCCGGCCUGAGAGGGUGACCGGUAACAUUGGGACUGAGAUACGGCCCAGACUCCUACGGGAGGCAGCAGGGGGGAAUAUUGCACAAUGGGCGCAAGCCUGAUGCAGCGACGCCGCGUGAGGGAUGGAGGCCUUCGGGUUGUGAACCUCUUUCGCUCAUGGUCAAGCCGCAACAAUGGUUGUGGUGAGGGUAGUGGGUAAAGAAGCGCCGGCUAACUACGUG
rnacentral:rRNA from 1 species